CCCUUAGAUGUCCGGGGCCGCACGCGCGCUACACUGAAGGAAUCAGCGUGGCUUUCUCCCUGACCUGAAAGGGUUGGGAAACCCGUUGAAUCUCCUUCGUGAUAGGGAUUGGGGCUUGAAAUUGUUCCCCAUGAACGAGGAAUUCCCAGUAAGCGCGAGUCAUAAGCUCGCGUUGAUUACGUCCCUGCCCUUUGUACACACCGCCCGUCGCUACUACCGAUUGAACGGUUUAGUGAGGGCCUCGGAUUGGUCUCGGCCCGCUCUUUACCGGGCGGCGCCGUUGGUCGAGAAGACGCUCGAACUUGAUCGUUUAGAGGAAGUAAAAGUCGUAACA
rnacentral:rRNA from 1 species